rnacentral:rRNA from 1 species
UGAGGAAUAUUGGUCAAUGGGUGCAAACCUGAACCAGCCAUGCCGCGUGAAGGAUGAAGGCUCUACGAGUCGUAAACUUCUUUUAUGAGGGAAUAAACUACUCUACGUGUAGGGUAUUGAAGGUACUUCAGGAAUAAGCAUCGGCUAACUCCGUGCCAGCAGCCGCGGUAAUACGGAGGAUGCAAGCGUUAUCCGGAUUUAUUAGGGUUAAAGGGUGUGUAGGCGGACAAGUAAGUCAGCGGUGAAAUCCUACAGCUUAACUGUAGAACUGCCAUUGAUACUGCAAGUCUUGAAUGCAAAUGAGGUAGGCGGAAUAUGUAAUGGAGCGGUGAAAUGCUUAGAUAUUACAUAGAACACCAAUUGCGAAGGCAGCUUACUAAAAUGUGAUUGACGCUGAGACACGAAAGCGUGGGGAGCGAACA